rnacentral:rRNA from 1 species
GACGAACGCUGGCGGCGUGCUUAACACAUGCAAGUCGAACGGAAAGGCCCUGCUUUUGUGGGGUGCUCGAGUGGCGAACGGGUGAGUAACACGUGAGUAACCUGCCCUUGACUUUGGGAUAACUUCAGGAAACUGGGGCUAAUACCGGAUAGGAGCUCCUGCUGCAUGGUGGGGGUUGGAAAGUUUCGGCGGUUGGGGAUGGACUCGCGGCUUAUCAGCUUGUUGGUGGGGUAGUGGCUUACCAAGGCUUUGACGGGUAGCCGGCCUGAGAGGGUGACCGGACACAUUGGGACGGAGAUACGGCACAGACUCCUACGGGAGGCAGCAGUGGGGAAUAUUGCACAAUGGGCGGAAGCCUGAUGCAGCAACGCCGCGUGCGGGAUGACGGCCUUCGGGUUGUAAACCGCUUUCGCCUGUGACGAAGCGUGAGUGACGGUAAUGGAUAAAGAAGCACCGGCUAACUACGUG